CAACCCUCAGCCACCCUCGGCCCACCACCACCAAGGUGCCAUUCACCCCUGACCCACUGACGCAACUGUGGACCCGAUGGCUGAUCCAGGACCUGGAGGAGGUGGCCCUUAUGGUGUAUCCAUGGCCCAGAAUACCUGUAACCAGAUUCUGACUAUCAGAUGACUGGAGGCAUAUUGCCUAGUUACAGUCAUGUACAUCUAAGUGCUCCUUGGUGCUGUAUCACCAUCAAGGACCUCCACCUGGCACUGCAGCACAUGUAGCAGAGUUGCAGUGGGGUUCCCAGCAGCAUUAGAAGUAGUACAUGAUGCACCUCAUACGUACUGUUUCUUUUUUAGAAGGCAACUCCAAGCACACAUUUGGUAUGACUAGUAAGUGAUUCCUUUUCUGCCUUACCUGAAAAGUGGAGGUAUACCGCCUCAUUACAAAGUAACUAAGCUAAUUUGUGUACAUGGUACGUACAUGGGUAGUGUAAUGAAAUGCUGCAUAAUGUUGAAGCAUGUUUACAAUCUACUAAAGCUUUAGUCAGAGACAGGCAAAGCUAGUGAUCUAAGGGAUAUGACUCACUGUUACAUUGAAUUAUAUGCACUGCACCUUAAUUGUCUUUUUAGUAAUCAGCAUGUAUAGAUUGCUAGAGCCAAGGUCAGAAAAUUUCAAGUAAAGGACUUGUUAAUUAGAAGUGACUAAUGGUGACACUAAAUUGUAUACACUUCACCUUACUCAUAUUAGUUUACUUACAGAGAAACAGCUACGUGAUAUAAUUCAGGCAUUGCCUUUUGUAGGUGUUUUAUUGCCAUUAGGUCUCAAGUUGAUAUUAUUGUAUAAUAUCAUUGUUCAAAUGCUUUAGCUUUUACAGAAACACGUAAAUUGACUUCCCCAGAUGUUUAAUGCGUAAAUAUUCAUGUAAAUAGGAAUCAGUUUUGUAUAGGUGUCAUCCAUGAUGAACGUCUCUUACAUUAUUUGAUAAACAUCAGACUGUAGGCAUAUUAUUCCCUGUUUGAAAAGCUCUCAGUGUGGUGCGGCACAGUACUCUUGUGUUAGGCUACAGAGCUGAAGUUAUUCAAUUACUUUCUUCCUUCUUCCAUUCUGAUUUAUUACUUAUAAAAAAGAAAUCCACAUGUGCAAUCAUCUUCAAAAUAUAUUGUUAAUCCAUUUAUUAGUACGGGGCCUGAAACCUCUUCAGUGGUAAAUGGUAAACGGUAAAAGUUAUCAUUCAUUGAUUUUGAUAAACAUAAGAGGUUGGCAUCUAACUGGGAGGUGGAAUGGCCACUUCUGUCUCAGCCAAUCAUGAGUGUUUGUACUACUGCUCUCGACCAGUCACGGCUCUCACAGCAUCAUACAAUGCUUGCAGCAGAAUAUAAACCAGCACCUAUUAAUACAUCUAUUUUUAAUAAUUGUUAUGAUUAUAAGUUUGAUUCUACAAUGAGAUUACCUGAACAGUCAACAUAGGACUACGUUACUCCUCCAUCUGGUGCAACUAGAAGGUCCCUGAAUGUUGAUGAAUGGACAAGAGUUUAAGCAAAAAAGCAAUCUGGGGAAAGCAUAUAACUUGUGAAGCAUUCAUAAAGGAAUACCACCACAACAGGUUGGUGAGCCUUGUUAAUGCAUAAACAAGUGCUUUGAGAUCAUUGAUGUUUACAAUAUGCAACAGUUAUUUGGAGAAUUUUGGGCUUCAGGUGACUAACCUGUAAAAUGCAUUCAUACAGAAGCACCUUGAUGUGUGUUGUACAAAAAAGGCAGUGAACACAUGAUUCUCACAAUAUAGGAAAUAAUCAGAAAUAUUUUAUGGGUAUUGUUAACAAUAUACUUGUAACUAUGCAAAAAGGCAUUCCAAAACAUUUUUGGAUUAAGCAGGAGUCAUGUAGACACUGCCCCACCUUACUAAAAAAAAUUCAGUAAUGGUAUACUCUUGCCUGACUUACAGAACAAGUCUGGAAGUCACCAUUGAGCUGGCAGAGACAAACUUUCAACAUAAUGAGAACAUAUGAGGUCAGUUUCCACUAUCAUUAACCAUUAUUCAUGGGCGACUUCACCCACUGAGCAGUAGUAUUUUAAACCAGACAGUGGGGAAUGAUUGGGGAAAAGAGAGGUAUUGAUUUAGGAAGAGGCUGGGAAAUGCUUAUGGAAGAAUUUGAAUGAUAAUUGAAGAAACUGGGGAUAAUGUGUCCGAUAGGUCCAGUGCGGUAAUAUAAGGGUCCGUCUAGAUGGCAACACUUUCAUCUCAUGACCAGUGCCUAAAACGUCUUAUGGACGGUGUUCUGCUGAUCCGUCAGGUAACUUUGUCAUCCGUUUUCUGCUGAAAGUGGUUGUGGCGAUAAGAUGCCUCUGAAAGGUGAUAUCACUAUUGAAAUUGUUUUAAUUUUUUUAGCCAGAAAAAACAAACUGAACAAAGCCUGAUUAUUGUUGUCUGAUGUGUUGGGGCAUGCUGUUUUUCACAACAUAAUUUGUAGGAGGUUGUUUACAGUUACUGUAUCAGACAUUAUAAUGAAAUUUGAGAAUAGUCAGGUACCAGAAGAGAUAAAUUAUAUUCAGAUAUUUGUAUCAGAAACAUUGAAUGUAUGAUGUUUUGUUCUGGAGAAAUGUCAAGAGUACACAUUGUAUGCAUUCCUAGUUAAAGUCUUGUCACCUCUUGAAUGUGAGUUCAGAAAGAGCUGGGUAUCAAGAUAAUGUAGUUUAAUACACAUUCACAUAUCACUUCAAUGUGUUAGAUUUUACAUCAUCAGAUUCAAAGAAAUAUAAAUGUUCAACAGUGUAAUUUUUGGGAAAGUUAUAUAUGUGCAAUAUUUCUCAGAAUUUUCAUAUAUAUUAAUAUGGUUAUAUGUAUCUUGGUAUAUAUGUACAAUAGUGAUUCUGUGCCUGUCCCCUAAUGGAACACAUAAAUUCUUCUUUAGAAGUGUAUCAUAAUUUUUUUUCAGCCAAGGCUUUACUUUUUCAAAAUAAAAUGUAACCCACAGAAAAUCUACAUUUAGACAAACACAAUAUGUAUCCAAUGCAGAAAACAAUUUGAUGAGCAUCAGUUUAGAAAAUCACCUUGUUGUAUCAGUGUACUCCAUAGGCACAUAACAUGGACUGUCAGUGUUACUCAUGCUAAUGGUUCCACACAUCCUGUCUUUUCCACUUUUCUCUUACUGUAUGUACACUAUCUAGUCUGCAUUACAAGUAUGUAAACGUUUCCACUUUCUAAAUCAGUAGCAUUUAACUUCAGCCAAGGAUAGCAGUUUCUAGGCUCUUAACAUUCCAUAUUAACAUGUAGUGUGCAUGCCAUAAUUUGGGUCCAGAAAUUUUCAGGAAGGUAAAGUUUAUGAAAGUACUAUGACUAGAAUAUUUUAGCUUGAAAAAUCUCAUGUAUGCCUCUGAUGUUUUGCACAGUAUUAGGUUGUUACUAAUAAAUUUUCAAAUUAAAAAAAUCUUAAUUUGCUACUCAUGGAAACAGGAUUAUAACUAUUAACAACCCACUCUCCCAUAUGGUUUGGUGCAGUUUGGACCCAUUAAAUGGGAAGGUGUGGUAUACACAUUAUUGUACUUGUUAAAACAUAACACAUGUAAAGAAAGAGUUUUUAUACUUUUGAUAGUCUUUUUCAUGUGCCAUAUAUUACUAAAACAGAUUUUAAUUAUGAAUGUAAGACAACAUUUCCCUUGUGGAUGAUAUGCUUUGUGGCCACAAUGUUUGUUGCAGCCUUCUCAAUUGUGUCUUUUAUUGUUUUUCUUAUCACUGAAAUCCAACCCAUCUUAAUUGUAAUUAAUGUAUGGGUACGCGUUGUGUUUUCCAUGAAGAUAUGUUUUUUUAUAUUAUGGCUCAGCUAACCUUUCAAAAAUGCUUCCUUCUGCACUGCAUUAUUUCUUAAAAUUGUGGAGGUAUAUAAUUUAAUAUUGUAAAUGGGUCAAAUAUCAUUCACCAAUAAAUGACUUAUGUUCGUUUUAUAGUUUUAGGGAAUUAUUUACUGUAGAAAAGUUUAUGAAGUAAACACACUGAAGCUGACUUAUAAUCAGUAAUCAGUCAAUGGGGGAAUAUGCAUUCUCAUGUGAAUCAUUUACCCACAGCUCUGCUCAGAAUCUUAUGGGUGUUAGUUGUUGUAUAUAAGUACUGUACACAUUUUUACCAUUAAAAGUAUAUGAUUACACCUAUACUGACUUUUGCCACUUCUUCAUUGGCAUAUAUUUA